AAAAAGCGUAACAAGGUCUCCGUGGUGAACCAGCGGAGGGAUCAUUACCGAGUUUACAACUCCCAAACCCCUGUGAACAUACCACUUGUUGCCUCGGCGGAUCAGCCCGCUCCCGGUAAAACGGGACGGCCCGCCAGAGGACCCCUAAACUCUGUUUCUAUAUGUAACUUCUGAGUAAAACCAUAAAUAAAUCAAAACUUUCAACAACGGAUCUCUUGGUUCUGGCAUCGAUGAAGAACGCAGCAAAAUGCGAUAAGUAAUGUGAAUUGCAGAAUUCAGUGAAUCAUCGAAUCUUUGAACGCACAUUGCGCCCGCCAGUAUUCUGGCGGGCAUGCCUGUUCGAGCGUCAUUUCAACCCUCAAGCACAGCUUGGUGUUGGGACUCGCGUUAAUUCGCGUUCCUCAAAUUGAUUGGCGGUCACGUCGAGCUUCCAUAGCGUAGUAGUAAAACCCUCGUUACUGGUAAUCGUCGCGGCCACGCCGUUAAACCCCAACUUCUGAAUGUUGACCUCGGAUCAGGUAGGAAUACCCGCUGAACUUAAGCAUAUCAAAAAACCGGGAGGAA
rnacentral:rRNA from 1 species